rnacentral:piRNA from 1 species
UCGGUGGUAGCAACAAGGCAAACUCUCCCC